ACGCUCGACACCUACGGGAGCAGCAGUGGGGAAUAUUGCACAAUGGGGGAAACCCUGAUGCAGCAACGCCGCGUGAAGGAAGACGGUUUUCGGAUUGUAAACUUCUGUUCUUAGUGAAGAUAGUGACGGUAGCUAAGGAGCAAGCCACGGCUAACUACGUGCCCGCAGCCGCGGUAAUCUGAGCGGGCUGGCAAGGC
rnacentral:rRNA from 1 species